GACGAACGCUGACGGCGUGCUUUAGACAUGCAAGUCGAACGAGAAAGCCCUUCGGGGUUAGUAAAGUGGCGAACGGGUGAGUAACACGUGGGCAAUCUGCCCUUCGUUGGGGGGCAACCGGGGGAAACCCCGGCUAAUACCCCGUAAGCUUGUCGGGUCGCAUGGCCUGACAAGGAGAGGUAGCUUCGGCCAUCCGGCGAAGGAGGAGCCCGCGGUACAUUAGCUAGUUGGUGAGGUAAAGGCCCACCAAGGCGACGAUGUAUAGCUGGUCUGAGAGGAUGAUCAGCCACACUGGGACUGAGACCCGGCCCAGACUCCUACGGGAGGCAGCAGUCGGGAAUCUUGCACAAUGGGCGAAAGCCUGAUGCAGCAACGCCGUGUGAGCGACGAAGGCCCUAGGGUCGUAAAGCUCUGUUGUUAGGGACGAAGGGCGAAGGGUUAAUAGCCCUUAGCCUGACGGUACCUUUCGAGGAAGCCCCGGCUAACUACGUGCCAGCAGCCGCCGUAA
rnacentral:rRNA from 1 species